rnacentral:rRNA from 1 species
AUUGAACGCUGGCGGCAGGCCUAAUACAUGCAAGUCGAACGGGUGGCGGACUGGUGAGCAAUGUCUUGGAAACUGCCUGAUGGAGGGGGAUAACUACUGGAAACCGUAGCUAAUACUGCAUACCACCAUUUCUGACCUCAGGGGAUUAUCUUGUUGGUGGGGUAACGGCUCACCAAGGAGACGAUGCUUAGCUGGUCUGAGAGGAUGACCAGGCACACUGGAACUGAGACACGGUCCAGACUCCUACGGGAGGCAGCAGUGGGGAAUAUUGGACAAUGGGCGCAAGCCUGAUGCAGCAAUGCCGCGUGUAUGAAGAAGGCUGUCGGGUUGUAAAGUACUUUCGGCGGGGAGGCGUUACCCACAGAAGAAGCAACGGCUAACUACGUGCCAGCAGCCGCGGUAAUAC